AUUGAACGCUGGCGGCAGGCCUAACACAUGCAAGUCGAACGAGUGGCGGACGGGUGAGUAAUGUCUGGGAAACUGCCUGAUGGAGGGGGAUAACUACUGGAAACGGUAGCUAAUACCGCAUACCAUCGGAUGUGCCCAGAUGGGAUUGGCUAGUAGCUGGGGUAACGGCUCACCUAGGCGACGAUCCCUAGCGGGUCUGAGAGGAUGACGAGCCACCCUGGAACAGAGACACGGUCCAAACUCCUACGGGAGGCAGCAGUGGGGAAGAUUGCACCAUGGGCGCAAGCCUGAUGCAGCCAUGCCGCGUGUAUGAAGAAGGCUUUCGGGUUGUAAAGUACUUUCAGCGGGGAGGCGUUACCCGCAGAAGAAGCCCCGGCUAACUCCGUGCCAGCAGCCGCGGUAAUUC
rnacentral:rRNA from 1 species